GACGAACGCUGGCGGCGCGCCUAACACAUGCAAGUCGAACGGAGCUGCGAGAAGCUUGCUUUUCUUAGCUUAGUGGCGAACGGGUGAGUAACGCGUGAGUAACCUGCCCUGGAGUGGGGGACAACAGUUGGAAACGACUGCUAAUACCGCAUAAGCCCACGAUCCGGCAUCGGAUUGAGGGAAAAGGAUUUAUUCGCUUCAGGAUGGACUCGCGUCCAAUUAGCUAGUUGGUGAGGUAACGGCCCACCAAGGCGACGAUUGGUAGCCGGACUGAGAGGUUGAACGGCCACAUUGGGACUGAGACACGGCCCAGACUCCUACGGGAGGCAGCAGUGGGGGAUAUUGCACAAUGGGGGAAACCCUGAUGCAGCGACGCCGCGUGGAGGAAGAAGGUUUUCGGAUUGUAAACUCCUGUCGUGAGGGACGAUAAUGACGGUACCUAACAAGAAAGCACCGGCUAACUACGUG
rnacentral:rRNA from 1 species